AUUCUGCCCAUGCGGGGAAGGAUGAGAAGCUUCGACCAAGGUUCGACUCGAGCGCCAGCGAGAGAGCGUUGCCGCAGGCAACGACCCGAAGGGCGAAGCGCGCAGCGCUGAGUAAUCCUUCCCCCACCACC
rnacentral:sRNA from 1 species